rnacentral:rRNA from 1 species
GUCGAGGGGUAACAGGAGUAGCUUGCUAUUUGCUGACGACCGGCGCACGGGUGCGUAACGCGUAUAGAAUCUACCUUAUACUGGGGGAUAGCCUUUGGAAACGAAGAUUAAUACCCCAUAGUAUUAUUUUUUGGCAUCAUUAAAUAAUUAAAGUUUCGGCGGUAUAAGAUGACUAUGCGUUCUAUUAGUUAGUUGGUAAGGUAACGGCUUACCAAGACUUCGAUAGAUAGGGGUCCUGAGAGGGAGAUCCCCCACACUGGUACUGAGACACGGACCAGACUCCUACGGGAGGCAGCAGUGAGGAAUAUUGGACAAUGGAGGCAACUCUGAUCCAGCCAUGCCGCGUGUAGGAAGACUGCCCUAUGGGUUGUAAACUACUUUUAUAUGGGAAGAAUAAGAUCUACGUGUAGAUUGAUGACGGUACCAUAAGAAUAAGCACCGGCUAACUCCGUGCCAGCAGCCGCGGUAAUACGGAGGGUGCAAGCGUUAUCCGGAAUCAUUGGGUUUAAAGGGUCCGUAGGCGGGCAUAUAAGUCAGUGGUGAAAGUCUGUGGCUNAACCAUAGAAUUGCCAUUGAUACUGUAUGUCUUGAAUUAUUGUGAAGUGGUUAGAAUAUGUAGUGUAGCGGUGAAAUGCUUAGAGAUUACAUAGAAUACCGAUNGCGAAGGCAGAUCACUAACAAUAUAUUGACGCUGAUGGACGAAAGCGUAGGUAGCGAACAGGAUUAGAUACCCUGGUAGUCUACGCCGUAAACGAUGGAUACUAGUUGUUUGGUUUUCGGACUGAGUGACUAAGCGAAAGUGAUAAGUAUCCCACCUGGGGAGUACGUUCGCAAGAAUGAAACUCAAAGGAAUUGACGGGGGCCCGCACAAGCGGUGGAGCAUGUGGUUUAAUUCGAUGAUACGCGAGGAACCUUACCAGGGCUUAAAUGUAGUCUGACAGCUUUAGAGAUAGAGUUUUCUUCGGACAGAUUACAAGGUGCUGCAUGGUUGUCGUCAGCUCGUGCCGUGAGGUGUCAGGUUAAGUCCUAUAACGAGCGCAACCCCUGUGGUUAGUUGCCAGCGAGUAAUGUCGGGAACUCUAGCCAGACUGCCGGUGCAAACCGUGAGGAAGGUGGGGAUGACGUCAAAUCAUCACGGCCCUUACGUCCUGGGCCACACACGUGCUACAAUGGUAGGGACAGAGAGCAGCCACUUAGCGAUAAGGAGCGAAUCUAUAAACCCUAUCUCAGUUCGGAUUGGAGUCUGCAACUCGACUCCAUGAAGCUGGAAUCGCUAGUAAUCGGAUAUCAGCCAUGAUCCGGUGAAUACGUUCCCGGGCCUUGUACACACCGCCCGUCAAGCCAUGGAAGCUGGGGGUACCUGAAGUCCGUCACCGUAAGGAGC